rnacentral:lncRNA from 1 species
AGAGAAAGAAGCAUUUCUGGGGCCGGAGAUUUCAUUAUUGUGACAAAUGAAUUCAUUUGCUCUGUUCCACAGGUGGGUUCAGCACUUCAUCUUUUUACAGAAGCCAAAACUCUGACACUUGAAAAGAUGAAAGUUGUCAACUCUCAGCUGGUGUUUCAUCCAAGGGGAAAGGCCUGUGUUGACUCAAGCCAUCUAAGAGUGGAAGAAGAAUCUGCUUACAUCUCAGCCUCUCUAUGUAAAAGGGGCUUGCAUUUCAGCACACAGUCUCUCACCCACCUGUGGCUGCAAUGCUUCAGGUUGGCUGCAGCCUGAGCAGAAGCCAAGAGGAGAGUUCAGGCAAGCUUAUUUAUCAACAAGUCCCAAAGAAAGAUAUUCCAUUCUAUUUAUUGAGUGCUUUGUUUCUCCCAGCAGUGCAAGUGACUGAGCCCCUGAGGCUGCCAGCUGCCAGCAGAUGCAUGUGAACAACCAGGGCAAGCACCCCGAAACUCCUUCAGGUAAUGCAGGGUUGUCUUGGUUUGAUCUGAGCUCCUGUCUG